rnacentral:rRNA from 1 species
GAUGAACGCUGGCGGCGUGCCUAAUACAUGCAAGUCGAGCGAACGGACGAGAAGCUUGCUUCUCUGAUGUUAGCGGCGGACGGGUGAGUAAUACGUGGAUAACCUACCUAUAAGACUGGGAUAACGUCGGGAAACCGGAGCUCAUAUCGGAUGAUAUUUUGAACCGCAUGGUUCAAAAGUGAACACCGGUCUUGCUGUCACUUAUAGAUGGAUCCGCGCUGCAUUAGCUAGUUGGUAAGGUAACGGCCUACCAAGGCAACGAUGCAUAGCCGACCUGAGAGGGUGAUCAGCCACACUGGAACUGAGACACGGUCCAGACUCCUACGGGAGGCAGCAGUAGGGAAUCUUCCGCAAUGGGCGAAAGCCUGACGGAGCAACGCCGCGUGAGUGAUGAAGGUCUUCGGAUCGUAAAACUCUGUUAUUAGGGAAGAACAUAUGUGUAAGUAACUGUUCACAUCUUGACGGUACCUAAUCAGAAAGCCACGGCUAACUACGUG